GAUGAACGCUGGCGGCGUGCCUAAUACAUGCAAGUCGAGCGAACGGACGAGAAGCUUGCUUCUCUGAUGUUAGCGGCGGACGGGUGAGUAACACGUGGAUAACCUACCUAUAAGACUGGGAUAACUUCGGGAAACCGGAGCUAAUACCGGAUAAUAAUUUGAACCGCAUGGUUCAAAGGUGAAAGACGGUCUUGCUGUCACUUAUAGAUGGAUCCGCGCUGCAUUAGCUAGUUGGUAAGGUAACGGCUUACCAAGGCAACGAUGCAUAGCCGACCUGAGAGGGUGAUCGGCAACACUGGAACUGAGACACGGUCCAGACUCCUACGGGAGGCAGCAGUAGGGAAUCUUCCGCAAUGGGCGAAAGCCUGACGGAGCAACGCCGCGUGAGUGAUGAAGGUCUUCGGAUCGUAAAACUCUGUUAUUAGGGAAGAACAUAUGUGUAAGUAACUGUGCACAUCUUGACGGUACCUAAUCAGAAAGCCACGGCUAACUACGUG
rnacentral:rRNA from 1 species